rnacentral:lncRNA from 1 species
CGUCGGUCCUACCAAGGCGAAAUAAAUCAGUAGUAGAAUUAAUAGAAAUAUAAAAGUUGACAUUAAUGAUAUGAUAUAGUUGACAUGAAAAGAAAGAUCAUCCCAUUAUACAAAAUAGGGGUGCCAUACCAUGGCUGAAACUAUCAAUUGGACUAUAGAAAUACCCGUGUUUACCUUGGCAGUCAUUGGACUGCUAGUUAACCUGACUUCACUCUUUUACAAAUUGGUUCGGUCCUUUUUAUUACCAAAGUUG